rnacentral:lncRNA from 10 species
CACUUGUAUGUCCCGUGCUGGUGAAGUAAUACCAGGUGUACAUCAACUGUUAUGGGAAUGAGGUGGAAACAAGGGUCUUUGAAUAGAGGUGGGGGGAGCAAACCUCUGCUAAAGUAGACACAGAGAUCAGAAGCAACGAAGUCAAAGCUGCUUCCCACCAAGCUGUGUGGUCCCAGAUCAAUAAAUGUCCACAGGACAAAAGCAGUGCCAACUGUGGGGCUCACCUUCCUGGAUUCCUG